AGCGUGGGCCGGCACCAGGAGAGGACGAGCGAGAGACUCCGGGAGGGACGGAGAGAGAGAGACAGCGAACACGAGCGGGAGAGCACAGUUCCGGAAGAAUGAAAGCGGACGUGACAGUUCUCCUGGUGACCCUGAUGGGCGUGGCCUCAGCGAGCCCGAAGCCCCUGUCGGCGCUGCACAAGAGAGAAGCACCGGCGCCGUACAGCCCAGCGGCCCCUGAGGACCAAGUGUUGGUCCGAGAAAAACGCCAAGAUGAGCCAGCAACAAAUCCAGGU